CGGAGCGCGUGCUCUGAGCACAUGGAAAAGGGCUCGAGACGAAGUGCCCAAAGAAUAACUCCACACCUGAAAUGGAAUAUCAGUGACAAAUGAAUCAAAUCUGGAGCAAAAAGGACCUUCAGAACAGCUGCUAGUCAGCCUGUCGUUCUUUCAAUGGAAGCCUGAAACCGGAGCCACGAGUGAAUGCCAAACUUUUCAGGAAAAGACCUACAUGUUCUGCCCCCUAUGAGCUGACAACUCCUUGCCAUCAAAGUCAACGAUGCCGCUUUGCUGUGAAGAGAUGAAGAUCUGCUGUUGCCUACGGACAGCUGGGUUUUACACAGUGGGUGUAAAGAUGUGAAAGAGGCCAUGGAUUAAAAGAAAAGAAAAAAAAAG